CAAAUUUAAAUGAUGAUUGCAUAGUUCAAAUGAUCAAAAUUGAUUACUACCAUUAUUUUGUCUUUCGCUCCUAUCUUACUAUAAUUUUU